CAGAAAAGGCUUGGAAGCUGUGGGCCCUUCAUGUGGGGCUGAAGUCUUAAGACCUGGAGAGCAGCCCCAAGGGUGGAGAAGCGGCUGCUGAAGGGAUCAGCAUGCGCUGGCACAGGAAGUCUGUUUUCCAUGUGUCUGGAACCCAGCCGAAGCUUCCUGGGGUAAUUUUAACCAGUAUCCACUCUAGAACAAUACCAAAAAAGGCACUGAGCAAGGAAGCGGAGCUACAACCAAGAGAGGACGCUGCUGCCAUCGUUAUCCAGGGCAAUGGGUCUUGAUUCCCAAAUCGCAGCCUGCUGUGCGCCCUGAUCACGUGGAGCUAUAAGAAAUAGCACUUCCUGGGCCUCACCGCUGGAGGUUUGGAUUGGGCAUGGGAAUCCCUAGGUGAUUCUGAUGCCGGCACUGGGAAGGCCCAGGUCCAGCAUAAGAGACAGACUGGAACACCGCAUGGAAGCGCCACACCUGAGAAGGGCGUCCGAGGCCCACAGAGCAGAGGAAGUGACAUCUGGGGAAAGCCUUGCAGGCACUUCCAUGGAGACUUGAAGAACAAUGAGGGCAGUGCUCUGCAUGGAUAUCUCACUUAACAAGACUCUGAGGUACUACUGUUGCCUCCAUUUACAUUGAGGAAACUGAGGCCCA
rnacentral:lncRNA from 10 species